CCCUUAGAUGUUCUGGGCCGCACGCGCGCUACACUGACAGAGCCAACGAGUUCUUCACCUUGGCCGGAAGGUCUGGGUAAUCUUGUUAAACUCUGUCGUGCUGGGGAUAGAGCAUUGCAAUUAUUGCUCUUCAACGAGGAAUGCCUAGUAAGCGCGUGUCAUCAGCACACGUUGAUUACGUCCCUGCCCUUUGUACACACCGCCCGUCGCUACUACCGAUUGAAUGGCUCAGUGAGGCCUUCGGACUGGCUCAGGGAGGUUGGCAACGACCACCCCGAGCCGGAAAGUUCGUCAAACUCGGUCAUUUAGAGGAAGUAAAAGUCGUAACA
rnacentral:rRNA from 1 species